AGGCGCUGGCUACUACUGUGAAAGGUAUGCUGAUACAAGUGGUUCUGCACCUUCUUGGAUGGAGCGACGAGUAAUUCCAAUACAGCACCGAAUGGGGCAGUUGACUAACACCCGUUUUGAUCUUUUGAGGCCAAGACUUGCCCAUGUGUAUCCCGUGGGCACACUUCCUACAGCAUGUGGACUAGAAGGAGCCGUCUUAGUCCUUCCAGUUUCUCUGUUUGGUCUGGAUCUGUCAAGCUGCUCAUCACCUGGCUGGGAAGGUAUUGGUGAUUCUGCAUGCACAAGAAUCUGAUACCUAGGUGAGAGCCCUUGUUAUGAUGCAGUGAGAUUCAGCAACAGGCCAGAUUAUUCCAAAGACCUAAGUAAUGGAAGAUUUUUGACUCUAGAUGUGAACAAAUCUUUGGAUGUUGACUCUAAACCUCAGGUAUUUGGGUGAGCAGCCAUAGUCAAGAACAGGACUAAUGGAAGAUUCCUGUGACCCCAAAUAUAAAGUUUUUUUUAUGCCAGGGUCAACUAUUAUGGCAUAGGUCUGCCAGACAGCAUGGAAACAGUUUGGUUUUGGUCUCGCUCUCCCUGGCCUUCAGUUUAACUAGUUCACAGCUUCUGUUUCCACACUAAACUAAUCCUGCUACUUGAAUCUCAAGCUGUAGGAUCCAGGAUCAUUGCAGCAUCCAGAGAGUUGCACCAACUGGAAGUUCAGGAUGUUGAGUAGAUUUGGUAUUCAGUGACUUGGUUGAAGAAAUGGCUUCUGCAGCUGGAUUUCAAGACUACCUUUAAAGGAAAUUCUGAACCUUGGUGAAAAGGUGAAAGGAUGCAAUCAACAUUGGACCAAUUCUGUUUGAAUUGUAAUCUGCAAAAUCAAAUAAAAUGGAAGUGAAGAUUCA